AGUAUUCUUUCUCGUGUUGUGGAGUAGAGGUGAAUUUCACAAACUUCGAUGGUUAAAACAUGUUCUAUCUCAGUAAUUUAACGUGAAGUGAUGAUGACAAUAAUCAACAAUAUCAUAAAGGUGUUAAAUCUCAGAAUUAAAUGCCGUUGGUGAGCUUGUCAAGGCACCUGAUUAAUCUUGCACUGGUGCCCGAUUGGACUCUCAAUAUAGCGCCAGAUGGAAGUCGUAAUUAUGCUUCAUCGUUCACGCUGCUGUGCCUGAUGGCUUUGCUAUGACACCUGAUGAGUUUCGCUAUAGCGCUUGGAGAUACGAAAACCACAAGGAUCUAGGAUACAAAGACCUAGGAUACAGGAUUCUAGAAUACAAGGAACUCAAGUACGUUGAAUGGAGGGCCACAAUGGCACCCAGGCCACAAACCUUAUGUCUGACUGGCAAGACUGGCUGCAAGCCGCAGAGGAUUGAGUUGGAAAUCGAUAAGUACAUUUUUACAUCAUUAUUUUCGAAAAUUAUUGAUUAUUAUUGCUUUCAUCAUUAUCAUCAUGAUGGCAAAGUAACAAA